UACGGGGGGGGCAAGCGUUGUUCGGAAUUACUGGGCGUAAAGGGCUCGUAGGUGGCCAACUAAGUCAGACGUGAAAUCCCUCGGCUUAACCGGGGAACUGCGUCUGAUACUGGAUGGCUUGAGAUUGGGAGAGGGAUGCGGAAUUCCAGGUGUAGCGGUGAAAUGCGUAGAUAUCUGGAGGAACACCGGUGGCGAAGGCGGCAUCCUGGACCGGUAUUGACGCUGAUGCGCGAAAGCCAGGGGAGCAAACGGG
rnacentral:rRNA from 1 species